rnacentral:rRNA from 1 species
AGGACGAACGCUGGCGGCGUGCUUAACACAUGCAAGUCGAGCGCCCGUAGCAAUACGGGAGCGGCAGACGGGAUAGUAACACGUGGGAACGCGCCCUUCGGUUCGGAAUAACUCAGGGAAACUUGAGCUAAUACCGAAUACGCCCUUACGGGGAAAGAUUUAUUGCCGAAGGAACGGCCCGCGUCCGAUUAGCUAGUUGGUGAGGUAAUGGCUCACCAAGGCUACGAUCGGUAGCUGGUCUGAGAGGAUGACCAGCAUCACUGGGACUGAGACACGGCCCAGACUCCUACGGGAGGCAGCAGUGGGGAAUAUUGCGCAAUGGGCGAAAGCCUGACGCAGCAACGCCGCGUGGAGGACGAAGGCUUUCUGAGUUGUAAACUCCUUUCAGCAGGGACGAUUGUGACGGUACCUGCAGAAGAAGCACCGGCCAACUACGUGCCAGCAGCCGC